ensembl:snRNA U1 U1 spliceosomal RNA
AUACUUGCCUGGCAGGGGAGAUACCAUAAACAUGAAGGUGGUUUUUCCAGUGUGCAGCUCAUCUGUUGUAUUCCGGAUAUGCUGACCCUUGCAAUGUCCCCAGAUGUGGGAAACUUGGCUGCAUAAUUUGUGGUAGUGGGGGACUGUGUUCACUCUUUCCCCUG